CAGAAUUGAGUUCCUGUACAGUAGGACUUUCCACUCAUGUCUGUGGUCUAGGAGGAGAUUGGGUUGGGCAAACACCAGGCACGAUGGAGCAACCAUUAACCCUGGAGUUGUGAAGACAGGACCACAAGCUGAGAGAGGGCAGCAAUGGAAACCCAGCCAAACUAUUAAUGGAAGGCUGGGUCCCAUUCUUUAUUAUCCUUCUGUGGUCUCGUCACCAGCAGGGUGAGCCAAAGCCGAGGGCAAGAACACGCUGGGUGACCUUCCACACCCCAAAUGCAAGAUCAAGUGCUGUGGAGAAGGAGAUAACAAGUUUUUAAUGUAAUAAAGAUCAACGUAUCAGUUAUUCUUUUUAUGGAUUAUGCCUUUGAUGUUGUAUCUGUAGAGUCAUCUUCAAACUGGAGAGCUGAAACCUAAUAUUUCUGGAGGCUGGAAGUCUGAGAUCCACAUGCUCCCAAAGGACCCACUUCCUAAAAUCAUUACUUUGGAGUCUAGGAUCUCAACAUAUGAACUUUGGGGGAUGGGGACAGAAACAUUCGGUCCAUUGCAGAGGAAGAGCCUGUGUUAAUAUGAAAGAGUCAGAAAAACUUCUUUGAAAAGCCAAUCCUUUGCUUUCUGAGGGUGAGUGAAGAUUAAGCAGAAGGAGCAGUUUAAGGCAGCAGGAAAUGCUAGGGUGAAGACUCUUGAAGGAAAAAAUGAAGGCCAGUCAGUGUGGCUGGAGUGAAAAAAUCCAGGAAGAUACUGCACAAGUUGACGCUAGUGAGGAGGCAUGGCCAUGGUGAGGGUUUUGGCCUUUAUUGUAAGGAUGAAGGGAAGACACUGAGAGGUUUAAGAAGGGGCAGAAUGGAACAGACAACAGGACUGUCAGGGAACAUCCAUUUUAACAAUAUCACCUUGCUGCCAUGUGGAGAAUUGAUUGAAAGAGGGCCACGGUGUGUGGGAGACUCACUGCGAGCACCUCACAUUAAUCCAGACAUGAUGGCAGCUUGAACUAGGAUAUUAGCUGAAGAAAGGGAGAAAAAUAGAUGACUUGAGUGAUGUAGAGAUAUAAAGGCCAUAGGAGCUGGUGAUUGAUUUCAUAUGAGCAGUGUGGCAUCACAGGCAUCUUCCAGGUUUAUGGCUGGAGCUCUGGAUGGACUGUGGUGCUGUUGAAGCCAGAACCAGACCACGUUUGUGGGAAAGACAAUAAAUCGAGCCAAUUAGGAUGGGGAGGGGUGUUCAAUAGUGCAGAGACAAACCUUGAUUGAGGAAAAUAUGAGAAGGCUACAUUUAGGAGGCAGGAUUUGAACCAGGCCUUCAAUACAUCCAGAAAUCAGAGCCAGGCAUAGUGGGGAAAUUGCAGGGGAAGUGAGGUUCCCAACAGAGGGAGCACCCAGAGCCUUAUGGGGGAUCUUGGCAUUUUUAUUCCAUUUUUGUUUUAAGUAAACUUUGCAUUGAAGUUCAGCAUACCUAUAGAAAAGUGCACAAUUUAUAAAAAUACAAAUCUAUAAAAAUUUAAGAAAACAUAUCAUCCAGUUUCUUUGGGAAGGGGUUCAUUUUUUUCCCCUAAUUUUCUAUUUUAACUGCAUCUAGUUUUCUGAUUGAAAGUGACAUUGAAUUCCUGGAAGUAAGCUGGGAAGAAAAACUCAUUCUAUGAGUGAAUACACUUGGCAAGAAGUAGUGGGGCUGUAAUUGUGAUAGUAACAGUGUUACUAGAAAACAUCGGUGACUGCUAUUGUUAUGUGUUAUGCUGACUAUAAUUUGUACUGCAUUAGAGGAACGUAAUCAGAGAAGACUUGGAGAUAUCAAGUCUUGGAGUAUUACUGAUAAAUAAAUAGAAGUAAUUCUAGACUGUACAAGAAAGAGUUCAGUUUUAGAAAUUUUAAGUUUCGAGUGUUUACUCAAAACUCAUACAGAAGUGGAAAUGUCUGGAAGAACAAAAGGACAGAAGAAUGCAUGGGUGAAAAAUCAAAGGAGGGAUCUUGGCUCCAGGAGACAUGUGUGAGUUCUGCUGUGGGGCUACAUUUAAUCAUGUCAGAGUUGAGGUUCUUGCUUUAGGAGCAGUUACUUAGAAUGAGAUGUCCGGGAUUUGUCUUUUUCUUUUAUUUUACCCAGAAAGAAAUGGAAGUAACUAGAGUGUCUGUUAUACUGUUGCAAAUGCGGUUCUGGAGCAACAAAGAUUGAUCAAAGCUGGAAGCAGGGCUUUGGGUAUUGUCUGUUUUCAGAGAGUAAUUGAAGCCACAGGUCGGACAAAAUGGUCUGGGGAAUGGACAGGGAGCAAGGUGACCCCAGUGUGUUGGAGGGUGCCAGAGCUCAGGGCAGGAGUCCCAGCUGUGCAUGGUGGUGGCAGCUGCCCCGCUUGCCAAGCCCAGGUGGAUGAGGUGGGCAGUGGGUGGGGGGCACUCAUGCACCAUCCACAGAGAGGGUUAGAAGCUAGAGUACUUUGCAGAUGUCAACAGUCGAUUGCAGACAAUUAGGAGGCU
rnacentral:lncRNA from 1 species